GACGAACGCUGGCGGCGUGCCUAAUACAUGCAAGUUGAGCGCUGAAGGUUGGUACUUGUACCAACUGGAUGAGCAGCGAACGGGUGAGUAACGCGUGGGGAAUCUGCCUUUGAGCGGGGGACAACAUUUGGAAACGAAUGCUAAUACCGCAUAAAAACUUUAAACACAAGUUUUAAGUUUGAAAGAUGCAAUUGCAUCACUCAAAGAUGAUCCCGCGUUGUAUUAGCUAGUUGGUGAGGUAAAGGCUCACCAAGGCGAUGAUACAUAGCCGACCUGAGAGGGUGAUCCGCCACAUUGGGACUGGGACACGGCCCAAACUCCUACGGGAGGCAGCAGUAGGGAAUCUUCGGCAAUGGACGAAAGUCUGACCGAGCAACGCCGCGUGAGUGAAGAAGGUUUUCGGAUCGUAAAACUCUGUUGGUAGAGAAGAACGUUGGUGAGAGUGGAAAGCUCAUCAAGUGACGGUAACUACCCAGAAAGGGACGGCUAACUACGUG
rnacentral:rRNA from 1 species